GAUAUAACAAUAGAUUUGCAGUUGUUCAUAAAAGUUCAAUAAAGGAGGAUACAAAUGUUCUUCUCUUUCAUUAUUGUCUUCUCUAUGAUACUUGGACUAAGUAAUGGACUAUACCCAAAUAUUGAAAGCUGCGACUGCAAAUACCAGUA